AUGCAGUUUUACUCUACAACUCAUUUGUAUCCAGAUGGUAAGAUAGUGUGGAUGACUGAAGAAACAAGAUAUCAGUCUACUGUGGAUGAGUGGGCAAAGCUCAUCAAAGCACCCAAGGAGCAUGAGAAAGACAUCGAUGUCUAUGUUGAGAAAAAGAAAGACCACAACUCCAUGGCAAACAUGUACAAGGAAAUACCUGACAAAGCUUUGGAGACUCACAAACUAGGGUUAGUGUACUACUUGAUGUCUGGUCUGGCCACUAUGAACACAAUAUUGAGGCACACCUUGUUGCCCAAAUCAGGAGAUCACAGGAUGAUCAGAGACCAUUCCAUCAAUCUGCUUCAGAUGUUUGAUUUGCCACAGAAGUUCAAAGUCAUGAGUCUGAUUGUAGAGACAAUCAAGAGGACAACUGCUGACCAAAAAAGGUCAUGUGGGUAUGCUCCACACAUACAAAUGCUGAUCAACUCCAAAAUGCCCAAAGGAGUGUACUUGUUGGACAAAGAGCAUUGUCCUUUGAAGCCGGACUUUGAGGACAACAUUGUUGUCAUGACAACUGAGGAUCCAACAUCCCUAGAAGCUCAAGAGAAAAGAUGGAAAGCCAAAGCAGAAAAGGCAGCAAAGAUGCCUAGUGCUGAAGAAGCUUCAGAAGUAUUCCUCAAGUCAAAGCAAGACCAGCUUGGAUAUCUGAUUCAAGCAACCUUGAGAAUUGAGAAAGGACUGGCCAUCCUGACUCAGAACCAGGAGAGCUUGGAGAGGAUCAUUGAAACCAAAUUCUAUGAUCUUGACUUGAAGGUGACUGAAAUUUAG
rnacentral:rRNA from 1 species